ACCAUGUGUUAUGCUUGUAUGUUAAUUAUUCCUGUGAAUUUCUUUUUAUAAUAGACAUUAACUUUAUUAAAACCCCGCAAUUCCAAUUGCAGUGAAAUCGGUUUGAAACUUAAACGCACGAGUUUAAAAUUCAGGAAAGCUACACAAAACAGAAUAUUAAGCUAGUGAUUUAUUUGAAUUAUAAUAUCUAUAUGAGUAAUAAUAAUAUCACGAUCAAAUAAAUAUACAAACAGUAAUACUGAACAAAUACCUAAUUCAACCGGAUCAUAGAUAGACUCAAUGUUUAUUAUCUAAGCUUAAUUUACCGUUAUGACAUCCAUAUAAUUAUGUAUAGUCAUUAUACAGAUCUGGGCCUAAAAUUGUAUGUAACAGGUAAAUACAAAAUGUUUGGUUUGUAGUAAGUACUUAUGCAAUUAAAAAAUGUGAGGUGGCAAUAUUGUGAUAUUUAUUUGGGUUAUUUAUUAAUUUUAUAUCAUUUUGAACUUUUAAUAAUUUUUAUUGGGGGAAAAAAAUUCCAAAAUGCAUUCAUCUUUAAUAAAUUUUUAUCUAACAAGUUGAUUCAUACAAAAUUGACAGUUAUCAUAUAUUAUUCCAAAGAUGAUGAAGAAGGAUCACGUAUAAAUCUGGAAAUUGGAAAUCUGAAGGGUACUGAUCUAGAAUGAAAAAUCUGAACUACAAAUUAUAGAUAUCUGAGUAAGAGGUAAGAAUAGGUCAUAAAUAUAAAAUUUCAUAAAUGCAAUAUUUAAAGAGGCUAUCUAUAGGCAAUUUUUAUUCAUUUUUUAAGAAUUUAUUCAAACUUAACGGGUCUGCAUAAAAAACUGGAAAUUGGAAAUCAGGAUCUUCAAAAUUCGAUAACUUUUUAUAAAGCUUAUAUUAAAACUAGUAAAUAAAGUACAGAAUUGUAUUAGAGUAGAGUUCACCUAAC